rnacentral:rRNA from 1 species
UUCCGGUUGAUCCCGCCGGAAGCUACUGCUAUCGGGAUUCGAUUAAGCCAUGCGAGUCGAGAGGGUUCGGCCCUCGGCUGACUGCUCAGUAACACGUGGAUAACUUGCCCUCAGGUAGGGGAUAAUCUCGGGAAACUGAGGAUAAUACCCUAUAGACAUCCUUUGCUGGAACGCUUGGAUGUUCAAAGGUAACGCCUGAGGAUAGGUCUGCGGCCUAUCAGGUUGUAGUGGGUGUAAUGGACCCACUAGCCCGCGACGGGUACGGGCCUUGAAAGAGGUAGCCCGGAGAUGGACUCUGAGACACGAGUCCAGGCCCUACGGGGCGCAGCAGGCGCGAAAACUUCGCAAUGCGGGAAACCGUGACGAGGGAAUCCCGAGUGCUCAUACAAUGUAUGGGCUUUUCUUAUGUGUAAAUAGCAUGAGGAAUAAGGGCUGGGUAAGACCGGUGCCAGCCGCCGCGGUAAUACCGGCAGCUCUAGUGGUAGCCACUUUUAUUGGGCCUAAAGCGUCCGUAGCCGGUCAGGUAAAUCCUUGGGUAAAUCGUACAGCUUAACUGUGCGGCUUCCGGGGAGACUGCCUGACUUGGGACCGGGAGAGGUUGGAGGUACUCCUGGGGUAGGGGUGAAAUCCUGUAAUCCUAGGUGGACCACCGGUGGCGAAGGCGUCCAACCAGAACGGCUCCGACGGUGAGGGACGAAGGCUAGGGGCGCAAACCGGAUUAGAUACCCGGGUAGUCUUAGCUGUAAACGCUGCAGACUUGG